CCCUGGCAUCUCCAUAGCUCAGUCAGUAAAGCAACAGACUCUUAAUCUCAGGGUUGUGAGUUCAAGCCCCAUGUUGGGCU